rnacentral:rRNA from 1 species
GACGAACGCUGGCGGCGUGCUUAACACAUGCAAGUCGAACGGAAAGGCCCUGCGUUUGUGGGGUGCUCGAGUGGCGAACGGGUGAGUAACACGUGAGUAACCUGCCCUUGACUUUGGGAUAACUUCAGGAAACUGGGGCUAAUACCGGAUAGGAGCUCCUGCUGCAUGGAGGGGGUUGGAAAGUUUCGGCGGUUGGGGAUGGACUCGCGGCUUAUCAGCUUGUUGGUGGGGUAGUGGCUUACCAAGGCUUUGACGGGUAGCCGGCCUGGGAGGGUGACCGGCCACAUUGGGACUGCGAUACGGCCCAGACUCCUACGGGAGGCAGCAGUGGGGAAUAUUGCACAGUGGGCGGAAGCCUGAUGCAGCAACGCCGCGUGCGGGAUGACGGCCUUCGGGUUGUAAACCGCUUUCGCCUGUGACGAAGCGUGAGUGACGGUAAUGGGUAAAGAAGCACCGGCUAACUACGUG